AGAAAAGAUAAAAAUAUAAGAAGAGCUCCCCUCCCCUCCCUGUUUUCUGAAAUCCAUUUUUAUCCAUCCAUCCAGACACACACACAGAUGACGAUAACGUGAAACUCGCGAUGGCAUCUCCUCUACCUUCAGCCGUACUCACCAAACUCGAAUCAGACUUCAAGAGACGCACCGCUAAUUUCCCUUCCCUUGAAAAGGUAAACCCUAUUCAUAACACUUCCGACUUCGACCCUUCUUCAACUCACCUCUCACUUCUACAAAAAUGCGUCCAAACCAAUUCCUUUCAACAAGCCCCACUUAUUCAUGCUCAUAUUCUCAAAUCUGGGACGCAACAAGAUUUGUUUGUCAUGACGUCUCUGGUGAACGUUUAUGGCAAAUGCGGUGCCAUGGAAGCUGCACGCAAGGUGUUCGAUCAUUUGUCUAAAAGAAAUGUUGUCACUUGGACAUCUUUAAUGUCAGGCUAUGUUCAUAACUCACAGCCUGAAGAAGCCAUUCAAGUGUUUAUACAAAUGUUGGAACAUGGCUCCUAUCCCACCAAUUACACCAUUGGAGUUGUUUUAACCGCUUGUUCUGCUCUCUGCCAUGUUAACAUGGGCAAGCAGGUUCAUGGGUAUGUCUUGAAAUACGGACUCGAGGAUGACACAAGCAUUGGGAAUUCACUUUGUAACUUGUACUCCAAAUCUGGUGGCUACUUGGAAUCUGCUAUGAAAGCAUUUUGGAGGAUAGGGGAAAGGAAUGUCAUCUCAUGGACUACUAUUGUCUCUGCCUGUGGCGACAAUGGGGAUUCUGCAGCUGGAUUGGGGUUGUUUAGUGCCAUGCUUGAGGAGGGGAUUGAGCCAAAUGAGUUCAUUUUGACCAGUGUCCUGAGUUUAUGUUGCACGUUGCAGGCUAUAGACUUUGGUUUGCAGGUCCAUUCGCUAAGUAUAAAAAUUGGGUAUGCGUCUAAUCUGCCUGUUACGAAUUCCAUCAUGUAUUUGUACUUAAAAAUCGGAUUGUUUAGUGAAGCAAGGAAGUUGUUUGAUGGUUUGGAGAAAGUAAGCUUAGUAACAUGGAAUGCAAUGAUUGCAGGCCAUGCCCAGAUGAUGGAUGUUGCAGAAAAUAACCUAGUGGCAUUCCGAAAUGGAGUUGAAGCACUUGGCAUGCUCUUGAGAUUACAAAGGUCGGGUUUGAAACCUGAUCUUUUCACAUUGUCUAGCAUCUUAACAGUUUGUAGCAAUCUUGUGGCUCUAGAACAAGGCGAACAAGUUCAUGCUCAGGCCAUCAAAACUGGCUUUUUAUCAGAUGUUGUUGUUGGGACAGCUUUAGUAAAUAUGUAUAAUAAAUGCGGUAGUAUCAAGAAGGCAAGCAAAGCAUUUGUUGAAAUGCCUUCAAGAACUUUGAUUUCUUGGACUUCAAUGAUUACGGCUUUUGCUCAGCAUGGUCUUUCUCAACAUGCUUUGGAUCUUUUUAAUGACAUGCGAUUAGCAGGAGAUAGGCCAAACAAGGUAACGUUUGUUGGUGUUCUUUCAGCCUGUAGCCAUGCUGGAAUGGUGGAUGAGGGUUUAAGUUACUUUGAAAUGAUGAAAAAUGAGUACAAAAUCAUUCCUGUUAUGGAUCAUUACGGUUGCAUGAUUGAUAUGUAUGUGAGAUUAGGCAGGUUAGAAGAAGCGUUUGAUUUUGUGAAGAAGAUGGAAGUUGAACCAAAUGAGUUUAUUUGGUCUUUACUGGUUGCAGGCUGCAGAAGUCACGGGAAUCUAGAGUUGGGUUUUUACGCUGCUGAACAGUUACUGUGUCUAAACCCUAAAGAUCCUGAGACGUACACUAUGCUGUUGAACAUGUACGUUUCAGCGGGAAGAUGGAAGGAUGCUUCAAGGGUGAGGAAAGCUAUGAAAGAUGAAAAGGUUAUGAAGUUGAAAGAUUGGAGCUGGAUUAGCAUUAAAUCUAAGGUUUAUUCUUUCAAACCCGACUGCCCUCAGUUUGAAGAAGUCGAUGUUUUAUUAGGGGAUUUGCUUGAAAAAUCAAGAGAUCUUGGAUAUGAGUGGAAAGAGAUACCCGAAAACGAAGAAAUUGAGGGAAGGGUUCAUCACAGUGAAAAGUUUGCUGUGGUGUUUGGUUUGUUAAACACAGAAAAACCGGCAGUGAUUCGUGUUGUAAAGAGUAUGAGCAUGUGCAGAGAGUGUCAUGAUUUUAUUAAAAUUGUUUCGGCGUUAACGAAGAGGGAAAUCAUGGUUAGAGACAGUAAACGACUACAUAAAUUUAGUGAUGGCAAGUGUUCAUGUGGGGAUUUUGGUAGUCUUUUGUGAUCCUGUUCAAAUAUACAAUGCAGGGGUCUGUGAGCUUGUAAUCGUACCCAAUUGCUUCUUGGUAUGCUGUACAAUUCAGGUGGAUUAACCAUCCUUUGCAUUCGAGGAUGUAAUUAGAUAACCUCCUGUUGUGAUGUAGCGGUCUCCAUACUAACAAUAUUAAUUGCGUGCUCAUGACUAGCUGCAGUCUGCAUCCUCUGAGAUUCAUGCAUCUGUUUCUGGAUUUCCACUAUCGGUGACCCAACUGGAUCAGAGACACAUGAUGAUUGCUAAUACCAUCUGAACCACACUCUGAUCCCUGACGAGCACAUUCUGAAACAUUUGUCCGUGGCAUGACAACCCUGUCGGUACAGGAGCAUUCUUUUAUGCUACUCCUUUUACUUGCUUGGAAUUGUCCUUCGCGUUGCUUAUCUUUAAUACUUUGCUUUGAACCCCCCACCUCUUGGGUAGAGGGGAGACGUCUAGCACCACACCAUGUCUCUUGGGAUGGGGACAUUACUUUUGCAAUUACUUAACAAAGACAAAUUUCUCGAUGAAGGUGAUGAUACAGAAAAUGCCUAUAAAGAGUUUAGACAAAUCGACAAUGUGGGGAAUUUAUUUUCCUCUUAAUCAGGCAAGUAGUGUGUUAAAUGACAAUGAAGGAAGGUGAUAUGUACCCACGUUCACCCU